rnacentral:rRNA from 1 species
CCUACGGGUGGCAGCAGUGGGGGAUAUUGCACAAUGGGGGGAACCCUGAUGCAGCGACGCCGCGUGGGUGAAGAAGCGCCUCGGCGCGUAAAGCCCUGUCAGCAGGGAAGAAAAUGACGGUACCUGAAGAAGAAGCCCCGGCUAACUACGUGCCAGCAGCCGCGGGAAUACGUAGGGGGCAAGCGUUAUCCGGAUUUACUGGGUGUAAAGGGGGCGCAGACGGCAAUGCAAGCCAGGAGUGAAAGCCCGGGGCCCAACCCCGGGACUGCUCUUGGAACUGCAUGGCUGGAGUACAGGAGGGGCAGGCGGAAUUCCUAGUGUAGCGGUGAAAUGCGUAGAUAUUAGGAGGAACACCGGUGGCGAAGGCGGCCUGCUGGACUGUGACUGACGUUGAGGCCCGAAGGCGUGGGGAGCAAACAGGAUUAGAUACCCGAGUAGUC